GUAAGUGAUGACGUCAUUUGACACGUCACGUCUAUGACGUCAUUACUACG
rnacentral:pre_miRNA from 1 species